rnacentral:rRNA from 1 species
CCUACGGGAGGCAGCAGUGAGGAAUAUUGGUCAAUGGACGAGAGCCUGAACCAGCCAAGUCGCGUGAAGGAUGACUGCCCUAUGGGUUGUAAACCUCUUUUAUAUGGGAGUAAUACACUGUACGCGUAGCGUCAUGUCAGUACCAUACGAAUAAGCAUCGGCUAACUCCGUGCCAGCAGCCGCGGUAAUACGGAGGAUGCGAGCGUUAUCCGGAUUUAUUGGGUUUAAAGGGUGCGUAGGGGGUAGUAUAAGUUAGUGGUAAAAUAUUGGGGCUAAACCUCACUACGCCAUUAAUACUGUAGAGCUAGAGUACAGACGAGGUAGGCGGAAUAAGUGAAGUAGCGGUGAAAUGCAUAGAUAUAACUUAGAACACCGAUAGCGAAGGCAGCUCACCAGACUGAGUCUGACGCUGAUGCACGAGAGUAUGGGUAGCGAACAGGAUUAGAUACCCGAGUAGUC